rnacentral:rRNA from 1 species
CUACGGGAGGCAGCAGUAAGGAAUAUUGGUCAAUGGAGGCAACUCUGAACCAGCCAUGCCGCGUGCAGGAAGAAGGCCCUAUGGGUCGUAAACUGCUUUUGUACCAGAGAAAACCCGAGUACGUGUACUCGGUUGAUAGUAUGGUAAGAAUAAGCAUCGGCUAACUUCGUGCCAGCAGCCGCGGUAAGACGAAGGAUGCAAGCGUUAUCCGGAUUCAUUGGGUUUAAAGGGUGCGUAGGCGGACUGAUAAGUCAGUGGUGAAAUCUCUCGGCUUAACCGAGAAACUGCCAUUGAUACUGUUAGUCUAGAGUAUGGAUGACGUUGGCGGAAUAUGACAUGUAGUGGUGAAAUACUUAGAUAUGUCAUAGAACACCGAUUGCGAAGGCAGCUAACGAAACUAUAACUGACGCUGAGGCACGAAAGUAGCGGGGGAUCAAACAGGAUUAGAUACCCUGGUAGUCCGCACCGUAAACGAUGAUUACUCGUUGUUGGCAAUAUGACCGUCAGCGACCAAGCGAAAGCGAUAAGUAAUCCACCUGGGGAGUACGCCGGCAACGGUGAAACUUAAAUGAAUUGACCGGNGNGNGAGAGCGACGGACGACGACGAGGGAGGAGG